UACAGAGGGUGCAAGCGUUAAUCGGAUUUACUGGGCGUAAAGCGCGCGUAGGUGGCUAAUUAAGUCAAAUGUGAAAUCCCCGAGUUUAACUUGGGAAUUGCAUUCGAUACUGGUUAGCUAGAGUAUGGGAGAGGAUGGUAGAAUUCCAGGUGUAGCGGUGAAAUGCGUAGAGAUCUGGAGGAAUACCGAUGGCGAAGGCAGCCAUCUGGCCUAAUACUGACACUGAGGUGCGAAAGCAUGGGGAGCAAACAGG
rnacentral:rRNA from 1 species